rnacentral:ncRNA from 2 species
ACUGAAUAUGUAAAAAGGGGUUCCCGAGCGCGAGCGAGGGACCAAACGGAAUGCAAGUCGGUGAGAAGCCGACGCGGCCGCGCCGCUGUAAUUGGUUCGAUAUAAGAAACCAUAAGCCAGAACGCCGACCCCUGAACAGCCUACAGU